UACGUAGGGUGCAAGCGUUGUCCGGAAUUAUUGGGCGUAAAGAGCUCGUAGGCGGUGUGUCACGUCGGCCGUGAAAACCUGGGGCUUAACUCUGGGCGUGCGGUCGAUACGGGCAUCACUAGAGUUCGGCAGGGGAGACUGGAAUUCCUGGUGUAGCGGUGGAAUGCGCAGAUAUCAGGAGGAACACCGGUGGCGAAGGCGGGUCUCUGGGCAGUAACUGACGCUGAGGAGCGAAAGCGUGGGGAGCGAACAGG
rnacentral:rRNA from 1 species